GAGAAGAGUCAGUGGUCCUGAGGUACAGUACUUAAGAUAACCCUGUGAAGGCUGAGAUUGAUAUUUGAAAUUCACAACUGAUCUUGGAGCCUGGUACAGCAGUCAUGGAGCCAUAUUGGAUUGUGAAAGGAACUCAGUUGACCUGGCCUAUUGCAGAUUUAUUCUGAGAAUUUCAAUUCAGUCUUUGCUGCUGUUUGGAAAUCUUUCAUGAAUCUUUUAAUAACUUCCUUACAUACAUCUUGUUCCAUUAAAGCCCCAAAUUUGGCUUUGUCAGCUCUCUUUCUUCAUAAUCUUUAGGAUUUGUUCAUGUGUGGAUGUGAUGGAACUGAAGUCGCUAGGUUCAUGCUACCUGGAACAUGAGACUGACAAAUAGAGGAGCACUGAGUCAAAUGAAUCUCGGAGAAAUGGAGCUGGAAGAAAACUGGAGUAAGCCUGUCCCUGAAAGGGCACUACAUUUGGAUAUCCAGCAGUGGGACUCAAUAUUUUUUCUUGUUGUUUAAUCUCAUUUCUGUUACUUGCAGCCAAAGGCUCUUAAUGAGAAAAUGGCUCUACCUAGUUUUCUGAAAUUGCCUCAGUCUCUCCACUCUUCCCUAUUACAAAGGUCAUCUCUUUAAUUCACAUCCAAUAACUGAUAGUCUCUUGACUAAUCUACAUCCUCUCAUUCUCUCCUAAUUCACCUUUCAUACUGUUGCCAGGUGACUUUUCCUAAAAGACAACUUUCAUGAUGUCACUCUACUUCAUAAAUUCUUAUAAUGGUUUCUUUUUGCUUUUAGUCCAAACUCCUCAGGUUCGUUUUCAAGGCUUUUCAUAAUUGAAUUUCUUUUAUAUACCUAAGAUGAUUUCUCUGUGUUCCCAAAUGUACAAUUGACAGUCCUUCCUCCUGAUGUUCUCUCCAGUAGGAAAUGUUUGCUCUAUGUAAAUUCAGUAUAGCUUUUAGUCUCUAUUCAAGUUCUACCUUCUUCAUAAACUUCUCCUGAAUAGAAUCAGCCUAUAACCAUUUAAACUGUCUUUAUUAGGUGCACACUAUGUGCCAGGUACUCAACAAGGCAGUGGAACUAUGAAGACAGAUAAUCACAGUCCCUCUUGCCUCUGGGAGCAGGCAGUUGAAUGCAAUGCUUUUUAAAGUUUUAAGUAACGUGGUCAUGCAAAAUCUUAUAGAUAUACAUUUGAAUGUACAGAGUUUAAUUACCAAGCUAGUGAGACUUAAUGUUUCAAUUAAUAAAAAGUUUGGAAUCAAGGUA
rnacentral:lncRNA from 1 species